UCUUGGAAAAUGCAACAUUUGGUCAUGAAA
rnacentral:piRNA from 1 species